GGUGAGAGGGGAAAGAAAGAAAGAAAGAAAGAAAGAAAGAAAGAAAGAAAGAAAGAAAGAAAGAAAGAAAGAAAGAAAGAAAGAAAGAAAGAAAGAAAGAAAGAAAGAAAGAAAGAAAGAAAGAAAGAAAGAAAGAAAGAAAGAAAGAAAGAAAGAAAGAAAGAAAGAAAGAAAGAAAGAAAGAAAGAAAGAAAGAAAGAAAGAAAGGAAGGAAGAAAGAAAGGAAGGAAGGAAGGAAGGAAGGAAGAAAGGAAGGAAGGAAGGAAGGAAGAAAGGAAGAAAGAACCUCCCAAAGUUCCCCUUGUUUGAUUGAAGAUAGAUAGAGAAUAUCUGUGCAUGUGCUCUAACUCACCAAGAAAGAGCAAGUUGAAUAUGAGCUAAUGACCAAGCUCUCAUUGGUUAGUCUCCCUAUUACACUGAAAGGCAAUUUGAAACUCUAUCCAAAAAAUGAAUGGACAGCACUGGUACCAACAGGAUGAAAGGAAAACAGAAAGGAAGUGUAUGUACAAAAAUAUUCUUAGCAGUACUUUUUGUUAUGGCAAAAAUUUAAGUGGGU
rnacentral:lncRNA from 1 species